AGUGAACGCUGGCGGUAGGCCUAACACAUGCAAGUCGAACGGCAGCACAGGAGAGCUUGCUCUCUGGGUGGCGAGUGGCGGACGGGUGAGGAAUACAUCGGAACCUACCUUUUCGUGGGGGAUAACGUAGGGAAACUUACGCUAAUACCGCAUACGACCUACGGGUGAAAGUGGGGGACCGCAAGGCCCCACGCGAUUAGAUGAGCCGAUGUCCGGUUAGCUAGUUGGCGGGGUAAUGGCCCACCAAGGCGACGAUCGGUAGCUGGUCGGAGAGGAUGAUCAGCCACACUGGAACUGAGACACGGUCCAGACUCCUACGGGAGGCGGCAGUGGGGAAUAUUGGACAAUGGGCGCAAGCCUGAUCCAGCCAUACCGCGUGGGUGAAGAAGGCCUUCGGGUUGUAAAGCCCUUUUGUUGGGAAAGAAAUCCUGUCGAUUAAUACUCGGUGGGGAUGACGGUACCCAAAGAAUAAGCACCGGCUAACUUCGUGCCAGCAGCCGCAGUAAAAC
rnacentral:rRNA from 1 species